CCUACGUGAGACAGCAGUGAGGAAUAUUGGUCAAUGGGCGCAGGCCUGAACCAGCCAAGUCGCGUGAGGGAAGACUGCCCUAUGGGUUGUAAACCUCUUUUAUAAGGGAAGAAUAAUGACUACGUGUAGUCAGAUGCCCGUACCUUAUGAAUAAGCAUCGGCUAACUCCGUGCCAGCAGCCGCGGUAAUACGGAGGAUGCGAGCGUUAUCCGGAUUUAUUGGGUUUAAAGGGAGCGUAGGUGGAUUGUUAAGUCAGUUGUGAAAGUUUGCGGCUCAACCGUAAAAUUGCAGUUGAAACUGGCAGUCUUGAGUACAGUAGAGGUGGGCGGAAUUCGUGGUGUAGCGGUGAAAUGCUUAGAUAUCACGAAGAACUCCGAUUGCGAAGGCAGUUCACUGGACUGCAACUGACACUGAGGCUCGAAAGUGUGGGUAUCAAACAGGAUUAGAUACCCCAGUAGUC
rnacentral:rRNA from 1 species